rnacentral:rRNA from 1 species
GACGAACGCUGGCGGCGUGCUUAACACAUGCAAGUCGAACGGAAAGGCCCUGCUUUUGUGGGGUGCUCGAGUGGCGAACGGGUGAGUAACACGUGAGUAACCUGCCCUUGACUUUGGGAUAACUUCAGGAAACUGGGGCUAAUACCGGAUAGGAGCUCCUGCUGCAUGGGGGGGGUUGGAAAGUUUCGGCGGUUGGGGAUGGACUCGCGGCUUAUGAGCUGGUUGGUGGGGUAGUGGCGUACCAAGGCUUUGAAGGGUAGCCGGCAUGGGAGGGUGACCGGGCACAAUGGGACUGAGAGACGGACCAGUAUGCUACGGGAGGCAGCAGGGGAGAAUCUGACACAAUGGGCGGGAGUCUGAUGCAGCAACGCCGCGUGCGGGAUGACGGCCUUCGGGGUGUAAACCGCUGUCGCAUGUGACGAAGCGUGAGUGACGGUAAUGGGUAAAGAAGCAACGGCUAACUACGUG